AGAGAUCAAACGCCCUACCCUGCCUGAGCUGGAGAUUACUUCAUUCCAGCAUGGGCUGACGAAGUACCUAUUGCAAACAUGCCACACUACAAAAAAGCUUCGGGAGGCCCAUCUACGCCGGGGAAUUUUAACAAGUGUGGCUUUUUUGUUGUCUUACUGCCCGGCAGUAUCUCUAAAUGAAACUCUAAAACUCUGCACCGAAAUUGAGCUGGUAUGCCGGUACAAAAAAGUGGGCAUUUUUGCUUCUCUGAGAGGGGCAAAAAAAAAAAAAAAAAAAAAGAGGGGAGGACUAGCAGUACCCUAAUUUCAAGUGGGUAGCAUUGAUGAAUUGCCAGGAAUGUUCGAAUUCACAUGUUGAACUGAGAAUGGGAGACACAUAAUAAGAAUAAAAAACGACUUUUUGGCC
rnacentral:sRNA from 1 species